rnacentral:rRNA from 1 species
UACGGGAGGCAGCAGUGGGGAAUAUUGGUCAAUGGGAGCAAUCCGUCACCAGCAAUGAGGCGUGUGGGAUGAAGGCGCUUCGCGUCGUAAGACACUGUCGGCCGGACGAAAGGAUCUAUCAAGCUGCAGGGCGGUACCGUCAAAGGAAGCAUCGGCCAAUUUGUGCCAGCAGCCGCGGUAAU